CUCUCCGUAAGGUCACUGCGAGUGGCAAAGGAAGAGCAGUCCCUACUGCUACUCCUCCUCUUCCUCCUCCAAGUCAACGAGCGAAGGCUUUGACGUGAUCCCACAGUCCCCCAGCGAAGACUACACCCCCCAACCUGAGGUUGCCUGAGGCCACAGUAACAAGCAGUGCAGAACCCACUCUUUUAUUGUAUAGCAUGCACUGAAAUAACUGGGGACUUUGCCAGUGCAAGACCAGCGCCAGUGGAUGACUGUGGUUAUAUUUAUCCAGUAAGGAAAUCCGACAGUAUAUCGGUGUGCGGGCGGAGUCUGGCUGGAACGCCCGCUGCCAUCGCGCCAAGUAUUGUUGCUUAGACGGAUGCGAGAUAUCAGCGGACAGCUGAGGGGUCGAUAAAAAUAAUCGUAACAAACCCGCUCCCAUAGAGCACGGCGAAGGAAGGUCCUGAUACCCCGCUUUUGAAUGAGAAACAAACAGCUUUUACUCUGGGGUUUUACCGGGGUAUUUCUAUUUUGGGGGGCAUGACAAACCAGAAGCAUCUAACUGGACACCAAGGAGACCUCAGGGAUCAUUGGCCACGGCGGUUUCACUGCAAUCGAACAGGAUUCCCAGGAUUUUGGAAUGCUGGCUUCAGUGCUGGGGGGGGGGAAGGGGGGGGUAACUGCACAGGCCUCCAUCCACUUCAGCUAAACAUAAGUGAGCUUAAUAAUGGGCCCUAGUCUUCUGGUGGAUGCAUCUGGCAUGUCACAGGGAUACAAGAACAUUGAAUUCACUGGGCUGGAGUCUGCAACAAACAAUAAAACCACAGUGAAAGAAGUUUCCAUAAAGACAAGAGGUCCCAUCCAGGCAAAGGAGGUGUACCUGAUACAAUUCUAUUUAAAUAUUAACCUGUGCACUGGGCAAUUAUACUUGAUGAAUAUCUUAAGAUCUUGACUGUCCGAAGACUAAUAAAGAAAGCUGAUCCCUUC